rnacentral:rRNA from 1 species
AUUGAACGCUGGCGGCAUGCUUUACACAUGCAAGUCGAACGGUAACAGGGUGCUUGCACCGCUGACGAGUGGCGAACGGGUGAGUAAUGCGUCGGAACGUGCCGAGUAGUGGGGGAUAACGCAGCGAAAGUUGUGCUAAUAUCGCAUACGUACUGAGGUAGAAAGUGGGGGACCUUCGGGCCUCACGCUAUUCGAGCGGCCGACGUCUGAUUAGCUAGUAGGUGAGGUAAAGGCUCACCUAGGCGACGAUCAGUAGCGGGUCUGAGAGGAUGAUCCGCCACACUGGGACUGAGACACGGCCCAGACUCCUACGGGAGGCAGCAGUGGGGAAUUUUGGACAAUGGGCGAAGGCCUGAUCCAGCCAUGCCGCGUGUCUGAAGAAGGCCUUCGGGUUGUAAAGGACUUUUGUCAGGGAGGAAAUCCCUAGUGCUAAUAACACUGGGGGAUGACAGUACCUGAAGAAUAAGCACCGGCUAACUACGUGCCAGCCGCCGCCGUAA